rnacentral:rRNA from 1 species
UACGGAGGGUGCGAGCGUUGUCCGGAAUCAUUGGGCGUAAAGCGCGUGUAGGCGGUCCGGUAAGUCCGCUGUGAAAGUCGAGGGCUCAACCCUCGAAUGCCGGUGGAUACUGUCGGGCUUGAGUACGGGAGAGGCGAGUGGAAUUCCUGGUGUAGCGGUGAAAUGCGCAGAUAUCAGGAGGAACACCGAUUGCGAAGGCAGCUCGCUGGAACGUUACUGACGCUGAGACGCGAAAGCGUGGGGAGCAAACAGG